AGUCCAAUGGCCGAGCGGCUUAAGGCAGGGAAAUGUUUUAUUCCCCCUUUCCAUUUUGGAGUUGGAAGGGACGUGGGUUCAAAUCCCACUUGGGCUA
rnacentral:tRNA from 1 species